UGGGGAAUUUUGGACAAUGGGGGAAACCCUGAUCCAGCCAUCCCGCGUGUGCGAUGAAGGCCUUCGGGUUGUAAAGCACUUUUGGCAGGAAAGAAACGUCGCGGGUUAAUACCCCGCGAAACUGACGGUACCUGCAGAAUAAGCACCGGCUAACUACGUGCCAGCAGCCGCGGUAAUACGUAGGGUGCAAGCGUUAAUCGGAAUUACUGGGCGUAAAGCGUGCGCAGGCGGUUCGGAAAGAAAGAUGUGAAAUCCCAGAGCUUAACUUUGGAACUGCAUUUUUAACUACCGGGCUAGAGUGUGUCAGAGGGAGGUGGAAUUCCGCGUGUAGCAGUGAAAUGCGUAGAUAUGCGGAGGAACACCGAUGGCGAAGGCAGCCUCCUGGGAUAACACUGACGCUCAUGCACGAAAGCGUGGGGAGCAAACAGGAUUAGAUACCCUGGUAGUCCACGCCCUAAACGAUGUCAACUAGCUGUUGGGGCCUUCGGGCCUUGGUAGCGCAGCUAACGCGUGAAGUUGACCGCCUGGGGAGUACGGUCGCAAGAUUAAAACUUAAAGGAAUUGAC
rnacentral:rRNA from 1 species